rnacentral:rRNA from 1 species
UGUCUACUAAUUAUAGACUAGCAUGAAAGGCAAAAUGAGGGUUUAACUGUCUCUUAUAGAAAAUCAAUUAAACUGAUCUCCCAGUAAAAAAGCUGGGAUACACACACAAGACCAGAAGACCCUGUGAAGCUUAAACAAAACUAUUAAAUCCCAUAAUAAUUACUUUCGGUUGGGGCGACCUUGGAAAAAAAUGAAACUUCCAAACACAAUGAUUCAUAUCACCCUUUUAGGCCAACAAGCCGUAUACACGACCCAGCACAGCUGAUAAAUGAACCAAGUUACUCCAGGGAUAACAGCGCCAUCUUCUUCAAGAGUCCCUAUCAAAAAGAAGGUUUACGACCUCGAUGUUGGAUCAGGACAUCCUAAUGGUGCAGCCGCUAUUNNGGGUUCGUUUGUUCAACGAUUAAUAGU